rnacentral:rRNA from 1 species
CGGUACCCUAACCGUGCAAAGGUAGCGCAAUCACUUGUUCUUUAAAUAAGGACUAGUAUGAAUGGCAUCACGAGGGUUAUACUGUCUCCCCCACCUAAUCAGUGAAACUGAUCUUCCCGUGAAGAAGCGGGAAUAGAAUUAUAAGACGAGAAGACCCCAUGGAGCUUUAAACUCAACAUCAACUGCCCUCUAAUUAGCUUAUUAACCACGCAGAUCUGACAGUUAGUUUUCGGUUGGGGUGACCGCGGAGUAAAACAAAACCUCCACGAUGAAAGGAAUUAACCUCCUAAUCUAAGAGCUACAGCUCUAAGAAUCAAUAAAUUGACAAAACUUGAUCCAAAUAUUUUGAUCAACGAACCAAGUUACCCUGGGGAUAACAGCGCAAUCCAUUUCAAGAGCUCAUAUCGACAAAUGGGUUUACGACCUCGAUGUUGGAUCAGGGUAUCCCAGUGGCGCAGCCGCUA